CGUUUGAGGAAGCUUAGUGGCGGACGGGUGAGUAACGCGUGAGUAACCUGCCUCUCAGAGUGGAAUAACGUUCCGAAAGGAACGCUAAUACCGCAUAACGUAUUGAUACCGCAUGAUAUUGAUACCAAAGAUUUAUCGCUGAGAGAUGGACUCGCGUCUGAUUAGCUUGUUGGUGAGGUAACGGCUCACCAAGGCGACGAUCAGUAGCCGAACUGAGAGGUUGAUCGGCCACAUUGGGACUGAGACACGGCCCAGACUCC
rnacentral:rRNA from 1 species